rnacentral:lncRNA from 1 species
CGGAGAUCACUCAUACUAUCCAUCGGCGCAUGUCGGUACAAUAUGGUAAACUAAUUAUGGUUGUAAUGGCAUGUAUAGGAUAUAUUGGCCAUAUUGGCAUGUAAAUGUAAAUGAUGCUUGUAAUCUAGCCAUUGGAAUGACUAGUAAUGGUUUGUUUAAAUAUACUUGUAAUGUCAAGCUAUGGUAGCUACAUAUAUGUUAAGUAGUUGAUCAAAUCAUGUUUAAUACAUGGAUUGAACUAAGGUAUGAUUGUAGACAUGUAUGCAUGAAAUGUUAUGCCAUGAUGUAUGAUGG